AGUGGGGAAUAUUGCGCAAUGGGGGCAACCCUGACGCAGCCAUGCCGCGUGAGUGAAGAAGGCCUUCGGGUUGUAAAGCUCUUUCAGAUGUGACGAUGAUGACGGUAGCAUCAGAAGAAGCCCCGGCUAACUUCGUGCCAGCAGCCGCGGUAAUACGAAGGGGGCAAGCGUUGUUCGGAAUCACUGGGCGUAAAGAGCUCGUAGGCGGUUCAAUUAGUCAGAGGUGAAAGCCCAGGGCUCAACCUUGGAAAUGCCUUUGAUACUGUUGGACUAGAAUCCGUGAGAGGGUGGUGGAAUUUCCAGUGUAGAGGUGAAAUUCGUAGAUAUUGGAAGGAACACCAGUGGCGAAGGCGGCCACCUGGCGCGGUAUUGACGCUGAGGAACGAAAGCGUGGGGAGCAAACAGGAUUAGAUACCCUGGUAGUCCACGCCGUAAACGAUGAGUGCUAGAUGUCGGGGCAUACGUGUCUCGGUGUCGCAGCUAACGCAUUAAGCACUCCGCCUGGGGAGUACGGCCGCAAGGUUA
rnacentral:rRNA from 1 species